rnacentral:lncRNA from 1 species
GCGUUGAACCUAGAGUCAAUUGGACCUAGGGUGGAAAAGACAUCAGACCUAGAUAGGUCGAUACUAUAGGAUUUGAGACCAACCCUUGAGUUGUGAAAUGGAUUCCGGAAUCCCUAGUGAUGUGGCCGCAAAAGAAGCGGUGGAAAUUGUGGUAAAAGAGAUGGCAAAGGAAUCAUAACUGCAGGUAUGUGUGGUUCUCCUCGCCUGGCAGUGAUUCAACGGGUAUGUGUGGUUCUCCUCGCCCGAGAUGCCAUGAGAAUAAGCUGGAAUUGGGUAUGUGUGGUUCUCCUCACCCAUUAGCUUAUCGGAUGAUGCCACCUAGAUUGACUUGAACCUUGCUGGGUAAGAGCGAUGUGGUCGCUGCCAGAUGACUAAGUCACAACUUGAACCAUUGUUGGGUGAGGUGCGAUGAGUUCGCCGCCAGAUGGCUAAGUCAUGACUUGAGUUGUUGUUGGGUUCGAUGCGAUGAGUUCGCCACCAAAUGGUUAAGUCAGAUUUGCGGUAGGCUGUGACGGCAGCCAGGCUGAGUUGCAGCCAGUGCGCGAACUAUCCGCGGAUGAUUGACUCGAGGCCGAGUCGGGUGGUUAGCUUGAUUAGGUUAAUGGAAACCUUAUAAGCUAGUGAUUGAGGCAAAAACCUAAGGUAAUAGAGACCUUAGAAGCAAGUUGAACUUGAACUGAGAACCUAAGGUAAUAGAAACCUUAGAAUUGAAUGAAAUGAGCUAAAGUUAGCAAAGUGAAUGUAGAAUCAACAAAUCUACUAGUUUAUACAGUUGCAUAGUUGCAUAAUAUUCUUAUUGCAUAUUGCGAGGCAUGUUAUCUGUUAGUUGCAUAAUUACAUUAUGAUAUAUAUAUAUCUGUAGAUGUUUUUGGACUAACAUGAUUGCAGUGCCUCCUUGGACCUAUCGGUCGAGCUUUUCCCUUGGGUGGCCGUACCCACUGGGAACCAUGGAGUUGGUUCUCACCCGACGUUGUUUUGGGGUGUUUCAGAUUCGCACGUGAGCGGCGCGGCGGCGCGAGGCAAGGGCGUAGCUCCAUAGAUAGCGCCCUACCCCAGAGACCAGAGAUAGCGGUACCCCGAGUCGGCAUAGCCUAGGGGUAUAGUAAAGGGAAAAGAACACAAUGUAUCAAACUUGUAAUAAUAAUUGUAAUAACUUAAUUGCAUUUGGAAGUUGAAUGUAAUGUAAAAUGAAAACUGUGAUGAAUGCUUGUAAUAACAUAGGAUGUGUUAUGUUGUUUGAUACCUUCCUUAUGCAAUCUUGCUUGAAUACUGUUCCUGGUUGGAACUUCUUGUACUUGUAUUGAUUGCGACGCCUAGGACGUAUAGGGGAAACUCUGUCCGUUCGGCAGUCUGUCUGCGGCGCCGCAACCUCGGCCAAAUAGGCGGGUGGUCACGGGUCGUGACACGUUAUGUCGCUGUGAAACCAUCGAGUUCAUCUCUUAUCUCGGCACUAUAGGAUUCAAUGUCACGACCCAAUCCUCAUCUAUCCACUAUAUCAAGCAUUCAACUCACACUAUGAUAUCAACUAGAAAGCAUAAGGAAACGGAUAAUGCACAUAGCAUCCUACAAUGCUAGCUAUAUAAAAGAUGCAAGGUUAUAAUGCACUAAGACAUAAAGAGGAGCCCGGUUGCUUCGGGAUGACACCACCCACCUUCUGGCGUUGUCACGACUCUAGAAAUGCGAUUCGGCGAUUUUACGACGUCAUCUCGGCCUCCCAGGCGAAAACAAAGCUCGGAAGGUCCUUUUUGCCGAUAACUUUGCACAGGUUCGAUGGAUCGUCGAACCGACUUCGCCUACGCGUCGAAAAGCCUAUCAAUUAGGUUUACACAUGAUCUAAUUAGAUCAAACUCUUACUUUUAGCAAAACCCCAUUUUGGAGCCCUAGAUUGCUACUAAUGCAAAAUACUCCAACAAAGCCCUAGAUUCAUGCAUUUAACAUCAAUUAGGCAUGCUAGGAUUCCAACUAAUCCAUUACUAAAGCUUAUAAUCCAAACUCUAAAAAAUCUACCAUUGUAGUUCAAUGGAGCUUACCUCUCUAGCUUGCUCUCAAGGUGGAGAAGACGAUGAUGAAGAUCAAGAUCCCUCCCUUGGCUUCAAUCUCCACCAAAUCCUCCUUCUUCACCUUCUA